rnacentral:misc_RNA from 1 species
CAACACCUUCACUCCAGAGGUCAGCCGUUUCUUUUUCUUGCUGCUGCGCCUCCAUCCCUCUCCCUCUACCCCUAAUAACCCUGCGCUACUUCAGCCUUUGGAGUCUCUUGCGUUUUCUUUCUUGAGUGCGUCUGUUGCUCGUGUCUUCUUGGCUUUCCUGGGCAGAUCCGCCGAGUGCACUCAUGUGGGGGUUUGAAGCAUACGCAGAGGGACUGUCCACCACACCCAACAUACACGGCGCACAUCUCACCGGCGUUGCACCACAGGAGGGAGAAGCAGCGCCUCUGGCGCCACCGCGGUAUCUGUGGAAGAAGAACCGAAACAAUUACCUGUUCGACGCGCAAGGAAAGUUGCUUGGCGCCGCGGAAGCGCAUAGCCCGACGAUAUGGCGCACUCAUCACGCAUUUAGCGGCCGCUGCGCCCUCGUGAACCCAACGGCCCCCGUCACCGGUGGUGCGGCUGCCCAGUCCUUCGGCGCCCCUGGAUGGGCGGAGCAGGCGUGGACGGCAUACCAAAGCUGGUCCGUCGGCUUCCGGCUGAGCUCUACGACCACUGACGAACCUCAUAUCCUCCUCAGCGUCGCACCGGCAUACUUUCCGAACUUGGUUUCCGCCACUGGCGAAAUCCGCAAGGCCGAUGCAGCGACGCUAGCAAGCCUGCCAUGCGCCCCCUCAGCGGAGGAGGAGGUCAUCUACAACAAGCGCAUGCUGGAGACGCCGUUAAUCUGGGAAGAGCCGUACGCGCUGUCGGUGGAAUGCACGACUCAUGGGGUCUUUCUGUGGAGUGACCACUGGGGCAUAUUCGGCAGGAAAAUUGCCGACCGCUGCCUCGAGGCGCGCCAGGAUAACGUGAGGCAUAGCGGCAUUGCGCCGCUACCCUCCCCUGACCCAUCCCCAUCGUCUGCGGCGGCAGGUGAGGAGUUGGCGCUGGUGGCUUACGAUGCGGCGCUGCGCCUGCGGUGGAACGCUGCAGGUCCGGGGAGCAAAAGCAGCACUGACGGUGGGUCUGCCAGAGCAGUGGCCCCUACACUGUCAGUGGAGCUGAAGACUAGCGGCGACGCGGCAGCGGGAGGGGCAGCGCCGACGUGCGAGGAAAAGGUCGGGGAAGAGUUGUGGCAGCAUCUGAUUGACCUUCCCCUCUCGCUCGACGAGGUGGCAUGCAAGGCAGCCUUUCGCCCUUACGUGACGCUGAUGGAAGGCGGCGAUGCGGUUGAACUGCUCUGAGGCGGUCGAGCUUUUGCCGCUCUUCGUGUCCGUUUCUGCGUGCGCGUUCCUUGCGAAGGGUGGAAAAGCGUAUGCGACUGUUCUCGCACCCCCUAUCGCGUGCUCUGUCGAACGGUGUGUGUGCGUGUGUGGAAGUCCAUUUUCUAGUGGACAAUCCUAGAGCGCACGUGAGCAUCAGCACGAUCUGCAUGCGUGCCACUCGUGUGCUACCUGCAGAUUUGUGUUCUGUGCAAGUGUAUGGCGCCGCGCAGCUAGACGAAAAGUCCAACGUAUGUACGUGUCAUAGACCGCCGACAACCACG